ACGAAGGUUUGAUGAGGAACUAGGCACGCGAGCAAGUAGGCCGGGACACGUGAAAUCCUGGUUGAAGAUGGGUGGACCAUCAUCCAAGGCUAAAUACUACUUACUGACCGAUAGUGAACCAGUACCGUGAGGGAAAGGUGAAAAGAACCCCGGAGAGGGGAGUGAAAUAGAAUCUGAAACCGUUUGCGUACAAGCAGUGGGAGCAUGGUUUAGGCUGUGUGACUGCGUACCUUUUGUAUAAUGGGUCAGCGAGUUACUUUCAGUGGCGAGGUUAACUGAAUAAGGGAGCCGUAGAGAAAUCGAGUCUGAAUAGGGCGAUAGUCGCUGGGAGUAGACCCGAAACCGGGCGAUCUAGCCAUGUGCAGGAUGAAGGUUGGGUAACACCAACUGGAGGUCCGAACCGGGUAAUGUUGAAAAAUUAUCGGAUGACGUGUGGCUAGGAGUGAAAGGCUAAUCAAGCCCGGAGAUAGCUGGUUCUCCCCGAAAGCUAUUUAGGUAGCGCCUCGUGAAUGAUUACUGGGGGUAGAGCACUGUUUCGGCUAGGGGGCUGUCAUGGCUUACCAAACCGAUGCAAACUCCGAAUACCGGCUAAUUGAAUCACGGGAGACACACGGCGGGUGCUAACGUCCGUCGUGGAGAGGGAAACAACCCAGACCGCCAGCUAAGGUCCCCAAGUACUAGUUAAGUGGGAAACGAUGUGGGAAGGCAUAGACAGCCAGGAGGUUGGCUUAGAAGCAGCCACCCUUUAAAGAAAGCGUAAUAGCUCACUGGUCGAGUCGGCCUGCGCGGAAGAUGUAACGGGGCUAAAACUAGUCACCGAAGCUGCGGAUGUGCGCGAAGGCGCACGUGGUAGGGGAGCGUUCUGUAGGCUGAUGAAGGUGCAUUGAGAAGUGUGCUGGAGGUAUCAGAAGUGCGAAUGCUGACAUGAGUAACGAUAAUGUGGGUGAAAAGCCCACACGCCGGAAGUCCCAGGUUUCCUGCACGACGUUAAUCGGAGCAGGGUGAGUCGGCCCCUAAGGCGAGGCUGAAGAGCGUAGUCGAUGGGAACCAGGUUAAUAUUCCUGGACUUUUUAUAAGUGGUGAAGUGGGGACGAAGAAGGCUAGGUGAGCCAGGCGUUGGUUGUCCUGGUACUUGCAUGUAGGGGGGAAGACUUGGCAAAUCCGGUUUUCCAUAACUCUGAGGUGCGAAGUGGUUCUGACCUUUUGGUACAGAGAAGUCAUUGAUGCCCGGCUUCCAGGAAAAGCUGCUAGCCAUAACUUAUAGAGAACCGUACCGCAAACCGACACAGGUGGACAGGUAGAGAAUACUAAGGCGCUUGAGAGAACUCGGGUGAAGGAACUAGGCAAAAUGGUACCGUAACU
rnacentral:rRNA from 1 species